ensembl:snRNA U1 U1 spliceosomal RNA
AUACUUACCUGGCACAGGAGAUAACAUGAUCAAGAAGUUGGUUUUCCCCAAGUGAUGCUCAUCCAUUGCAUUCUGAGUGUUCUGACCCCUGUGAUUUCUCAAAAUGCAGGAAACGCAACUGCAUAAUUUAUGGUAGUGGGGGGCUGUAUUCGUACUUUGUAUGU